rnacentral:rRNA from 1 species
GAUGAACGCCGGCGGCGUGCCUAAUACAUGCCAGUCGAGCGAACGGACGAGAAGCUUGCUUCUCUGAUGUUAGCGGCGGACGGGUGAGUAACACGUGGAUAACCUACCUAUAAGACUGGGAUAACUUCGGGAAACCGGAGCUAAUACCGGAUAAUAUUUUGAACCGCAUGGUUCAAUAGUGAAAGACGGUCUUGCUGUCACUUAUAGAUGGAUCCGCGCUGCAUUAGCUAGUUGGUAAGGUAACGGCUUACCAAGGCAACGAUGCAUAGCCGACCUGAGAGGGUGAUCGGCCACACUGGAACUGAGACACGGUCCAGACUCCUACGGGAGGCAGCAGUAGGGAAUCUUCCGCAAUGGGCGAAAGCCUGACGGAGCAACGCCGCGUGAGUGAUGAAGGUCUUCGGAUCGUAAAACUCUGUUAUUAGGGAAGAACAUAUGUGUAAGUAACUGUGCACAUCUUGACGGUACCUAAUCAGAAAGCCACGGCUAACUACGUG